UUUCCGUAGGUGAACCUGCGGAAGGAUCAUUCAUAAUAAGUGUUUUAUGGCACUUUUUUAAAUCCAUAUCCACCUUGUGUGCAAUGUCAGGGUUGAUUUUUCUCUCGAGAGGAUCAACCCCAAACAUCAACUAUAUCGCAACUCUUUGUCUGAAAAAUAUUAUGAAUAAAACAAUUCAAAAUACAACUUUCAACAACGGAUCUCUUGGCUCUC
rnacentral:misc_RNA from 1 species